GAUGAAGAACGUAGCGAAAUGCGAUACGUAAUGUGAAUUGCAGAAUUCAGUGAAUCAUCGAAUCUUUGAACGCACAUUGCGCCUGCCAGCACUCUGGCAGGCAUGCCUGUUCGAGCGUCAUUUCAACCAUCAAGCCCUAGGCUUGCGUUGGAGCCCUGCGGCUGCCGCAGGCCCCUAAAAGCAGUGGCGGGCUCGCUAUCACACCGAGUGCAGUAGAUUACUCUUCGCUCAGGGCGUGUGGCGGGUUCCAGCCGUGAAACCCCCUACUUCUCUAGGUUGACCUCGGAUCAGGUAGGAAUACCCGCUGAACUUAAGCAUAUCAAUAAGCGGAGGA
rnacentral:misc_RNA from 1 species